rnacentral:rRNA from 1 species
GGUUAAGCGACUAAGCGUACACGGUGGAUGCCCUGGCAGUCAGAGGCGAUGAAGGACGUGCUAAUCUGCGAUAAGCGUCGGUAAGGUGAUAUGAACCGUUAUAACCGGCGAUUUCCGAAUGGGGAAACCCAGUGUGAUUCGUCACACUAUCAUUAACUGAAUCCAUAGGUUAAUGAGGCGAACCGGGGGAACUGAAACAUCUAAGUACCCCGAGGAAAAGAAAUCAACCGAGAUUCCCCCAGUAGCGGCGAGCGAACGGGGAGGAGCCCAGAGCCUGAAUCAGUGUGUGUGUUAGUGGAAGCGUCUGGAAAGGCGCGCGAUACAGGGUGACAGCCCCGUACACAAAAAUGCACAUGCUGUGAGCUCGAUGAGUAGGGCGGGACACGUGGUAUCCUGUCUGAAUAUGGGGGGACCAUCCUCCAAGGCUAAAUACUCCUGACUGACCGAUAGUGAACCAGUACCGUGAGGGAAAGGCGAAAAGAACCCCGGCGAGGGGAGUGAAAAAGAACCUGAAACCGUGUACGUACAAGCAGUGGGAGCCUCUUUUAUGGGGUGACUGCGUACCUUUUGUAUAAUGGGUCAGCGACUUAUAUUCUGUAGCAAGGUUAACCGAAUAGGGGAGCCGAAGGGAAACCGAGUCUUAACUGGGCGUUAAGUUGCAGGGUAUAGACCCGAAACCCGGUGAUCUAGCCAUGGGCAGGUUGAAGGUUGGGUAACACUAACUGGAGGACCGAACCGACUAAUGUUGAAAAAUUAGCGGAUGACUUGUGGCUGGGGGUGAAAGGCCAAUCAAACCGGGAGAUAGCUGGUUCUCCCCGAAAGCUAUUUAGGUAGCGCCUCGUGAAUUCAUCUCCGGGGGUAGAGCACUGUUUCGGCAAGGGGGUCAUCCCGACUUACCAACCCGAUGCAAACUGCGAAUACCGGAGAAUGUUAUCACGGGAGACACACGGCGGGUGCUAACGUCCGUCGUGAAGAGGGAAACAACCCAGACCGCCAGCUAAGGUCCCAAAGUCAUGGUUAAGUGGGAAACGAUGUGGGAAGGCCCAGACAGCCAGGAUGUUGGCUUAGAAGCAGCCAUCAUUUAAAGAAAGCGUAAUAGCUCACUGGUCGAGUCGGCCUGCGCGGAAGAUGUAACGGGGCUAAACCAUGCACCGAAGCUGCGGCAGCGACGCUUAUGCGUUGUUGGGUAGGGGAGCGUUCUGUAAGCCUGUGAAGGUGUACUGUGAGGUAUGCUGGAGGUAUCAGAAGUGCGAAUGCUGACAUAAGUAACGAUAAAGCGGGUGAAAAGCCCGCUCGCCGGAAGACCAAGGGUUCCUGUCCAACGUUAAUCGGGGCAGGGUGAGUCGACCCCUAAGGCGAGGCCGAAAGGCGUAGUCGAUGGGAAACAGGUUAAUAUUCCUGUACUUGGUGUUACUGCGAAGGGGGGACGGAGAAGGCUAUGUUGGCCGGGCGACGGUUGUCCCGGUUUAAGCGUGUAGGCUGGUUUUCCAGGCAAAUCCGGAAAAUCAAGGCUGAGGCGUGAUGACGAGGCACUACGGUGCUGAAGCAACAAAUGCCCUGCUUCCAGGAAAAGCCUCUAAGCAUCAGGUAACAUCAAAUCGUACCCCAAACCGACACAGGUGGUCAGGUAGAGAAUACCAAGGCGCUUGAGAGAACUCGGGUGAAGGAACUAGGCAAAAUGGUGCCGUAACUUCGGGAGAAGGCACGCUGAUAUGUAGGUGAAGCGACUUGCUCGUGGAGCUGAAAUCAGUCGAAGAUACCAGCUGGCUGCAACUGUUUAUUAAAAACACAGCACUGUGCAAACACGAAAGUGGACGUAUACGGUGUGACGCCUGCCCGGUGCCGGAAGGUUAAUUGAUGGGGUCAGCGCAAGCGAAGCUCUUGAUCGAAGCCCCGGUAAACGGCGGCCGUAACUAUAACGGUCCUAAGGUAGCGAAAUUCCUUGUCGGGUAAGUUCCGACCUGCACGAAUGGCGUAAUGAUGGCCAGGCUGUCUCCACCCGAGACUCAGUGAAAUUGAACUCGCUGUGAAGAUGCAGUGUACCCGCGGCAAGACGGAAAGACCCCGUGAACCUUUACUAUAGCUUGACACUGAACAUUGAGCCUUGAUGUGUAGGAUAGGUGGGAGGCUUUGAAGUGUGGACGCCAGUCUGCAUGGAGCCGACCUUGAAAUACCACCCUUUAAUGUUUGAUGUUCUAACGUUGACCCGUAAUCCGGGUUGCGGACAGUGUCUGGUGGGUAGUUUGACUGGGGCGGUCUCCUCCUAAAGAGUAACGGAGGAGCACGAAGGUUGGCUAAUCCUGGUCGGACAUCAGGAGGUUAGUGCAAUGGCAUAAGCCAGCUUGACUGCGAGCGUGACGGCGCGAGCAGGUGCGAAAGCAGGUCAUAGUGAUCCGGUGGUUCUGAAUGGAAGGGCCAUCGCUCAACGGAUAAAAGGUACUCCGGGGAUAACAGGCUGAUACCGCCCAAGAGUUCAUAUCGACGGCGGUGUUUGGCACCUCGAUGUCGGCUCAUCACAUCCUGGGGCUGAAGUAGGUCCCAAGGGUAUGGCUGUUCGCCAUUUAAAGUGGUACGCGAGCUGGGUUUAGAACGUCGUGAGACAGUUCGGUCCCUAUCUGCCGUGGGCGCUGGAGAACUGAGGGGGGCUGCUCCUAGUACGAGAGGACCGGAGUGGACGCAUCACUGGUGUUCGGGUUGUCAUGCCAAUGGCACUGCCCGGUAGCUAAAUGCGGAAGAGAUAAGUGCUGAAAGCAUCUAAGCACGAAACUUGCCCCGAGAUGAGUUCUCCCUGACUCCUUGAGAGUCCUGAAGGAACGUUGAAGACGACGACGUUGAUAGGCCGGGUGUGUAAGCGCAGCGAUGCGUUGAGCUAACCGGUACUAAUGAACCGUGAGGCUUAACCUU